rnacentral:rRNA from 1 species
UCUGGGACAAGCCCUGGAAACGGGGUCUAAUACCGGAUGACACUUCCUUCCGCAUGGGAGGGGGUUGAAAGCUCCGGCGGUGCAGGAUGAGCCCGCGGCCUAUCAGCUUGUUGGUGGGGUGAUGGCCUACCAAGGCGACGACGGGUAGCCGGCCUGAGAGGGCGACCGGCCACACUGGGACUGAGACACGGCCCAGACUCCUACGGGAGGCAGCAGUGGGGAAUAUUGCACAAUGGGCGAAAGCCUGAUGCAGCGACGCCGCGUGAGGGAUGACGGCCUUCGGGUUGUAAACCUCUUUCAGCAGGGAAGAAGCGAAAGUGACGGUACCUGCAGAAGAAGCGCCGGCUAACUACGUGCCAGCAGCCGCGGUAAUACGUAGGGCGCAAGCGUUGUCCGGAAUUAUUGGGCGUAAAGAGCUCGUAGGCGGCUUGUCACGUCGGAUGUGAAAGCCCGGGGCUUAACCCCGGGUCUGCAUUCGAUACGGGCAGGCUAGAGUGUGGUAGGGGAGAUCGGAAUUCCUGGUGUAGCGGUGAAAUGCGCAGAUAUCAGGAGGAACACCGGUGGCGAAGGCGGAUCUCUGGGCCAUUACUGACGCUGAGGAGCGAAAGCGUGGGGAGCGAACAGGAUUAGAUACCCUGGUAGUCCACGCCGUAAACGUUGGGAACUAGGUGUUGGCGACAUUCCACGUCGUCGGUGCCGCAGCUAACGCAUUAAGUUCCCCGCCUGG